UGACUCAACUGCAUCUGAAUCUCAUUCAUCACAUCUGACAAAAUGAUAGUAAGAUUACUGAGAAUUCUUAAAUCCAGUUAGAGUUAGGUAAAAAAUGAUACUCAGACUUGAAAUACCUUCAACUCGAAUGUACGAGCCAACAGUCAGACCUCGAGUUAGACAUAAAAACCAUUAGAAAAUAAAAAAUAAAUGAUCUAAUAUCUGACUGGACCUUGUGAGAUGUCGAGUCAGACCUUGAUUCUUGUCACAAGGCUUGGGCUUUUGGACAUUACAUCCAAUCAUCCAUAAAUAUAAAAAUAAAUUUUCUCUAUGACCAAGAAGCUCCCGCCAAGAAAACAAAUUAUAAAAAAGAAAAAAUCAUUAUUCUAAAAAGCAACCGGAAUCUUUAAUCCCGUGACCGGUAACCGGUUAGAGUCAAACUACAUAAUAAUAACUUCCCCCAAGAUCAGAUCUCCGUCUUCAUUUCUCCACUCCACCAACCACCAAAUUCCCCAAAAUCCUAUCUAUAGGAAAAGUAAGAAAUCUCUUUGAAACCAGUGAGGAUUCAAGAAGAAAUCCAUCAUCACAGAGGAGGCGGAGGAGGUACAACACCAUUAAUGGCACCACAAACACCACCAACUCCACAGCAAACACCACAACAGCAACUACCGCAACACCAACCAAGAAGAAAAGGAGCUGGAGCUGGAACCAGAUCAUGGUUAGUAGUAUCAAACUCAGGGAAAUCACAAGUAGAAGAAAUAGGGAAACAUCCAAUUAUGAGAAGAACUGGUUUACCAGCGCGUGAUUUAAGAUUACUUGAUCCAGUUCUUUCACAUCCAUCAACAAUACUUGGUAGAGAAAAAUCUAUUGUUGUUAAUUUGGAACAGAUUAAAGCGAUUGUUACUGCUACUGAAGUGUUUGUAUUGAAUUUUAGAGAUCCCGUUCUUUAUCCUUUUGUUCAUGAUCUUGAACAAAAGGUUUCUCCUGUUGUGAAUGAAGAGGAAUCACGAAAUGAUAAUGAGGAACAAAGUUUACGGAUGUUUAAGGAUUCGUUUCGUAAUUCAGGUGAUGGUGAGAUUGUUGCUAAGGGUUUGUUAGAUGUGCGGAAGGCGGGUGGGCCUGUGGUUUUGCCUUUUGAAUAUAAAGUUCUUGAAGUAUGUCUUGAAUUUGCUUGUAAGAGUCUUGAAACCGAGACAUCCACACUCGAACAAGAAGCAUAUCCAGCUGUAGAUGAGCUGACCUCUAAAAUCAGUACGCUUAACCUCCAACGUGCUAGACAAAUAAAGAGUCGUCUAGUUGCAUUGCUUGGACGUGUGCAGAAGGUUAGAGAUGAACUUGAAAACUUGCUGGAUGAUGAUAUGGAUAUGGCUGAGAUGUAUUUGACAGAUAAGCUUGUUCAUUUGGGGUCCGAAGAAGCUGCUUCACAGGAUGAUGAUGAAAUAAACAAUGAUGAACGUGAGUCUGACAAUGAAAGGUAAGUCAAUCGGACUCCCCCUAUCUCAAUUAAGUAAUGUGUAUCCACACUGCUAUAUUACCAAUAUUCUUAACACGUCUGGUUUCUAAUUGGUGACAUCCUGUAAUUGAGCAUGAAUUCAAUUACAUUCGGGUAUCAAGUCAUGCCAGGUCCUUGCCUUCAUGGUUAUUGAGGAGAUCCUAGGUCCAAGUCCCCCUAGUCCAGAUGUCUAAUUAUCCCUUGAUAGGGGGACUUUCGUUAGUUGCAUUGAGUGGUACUUUCGUUAGUUGCAUUGUAAUGUAUGUCAUUGCCAUCUUCUGCCGUAAGGAAAGAGGGCUUCUGGGGUAAACAGAUGGAUUCAACUAGAGGCAUCAUGUGGUUGUGGUCCUGUGGAGGCUUAAACAGCUAGCUCAGCCAUCCUUGUUACCAUUUAAGACGGUUGCCCACCAGUGACAUUGUGAACUGGGGUUUUCUCGAACUAUGUUAGAAUUGAGUCUACAGGCACAUCGAAGGCUUGUAAUUUUACAACAGUUCCAGGAUUAUCUACAGGAUGUGAGGUGUCUGGUGGAGUUUGAAACGUGACAGUGGAAAAUGUUGUUGUGUGGGAUCCAAGACGAACCAUGAGGCAAGAACGCUGCAGGAAGAGGUGAAUGCAUUCAAAAUUAUCACCUACUGAAACAUCACAUUCGACAACGUGCAGGUAGGAUUUGUGGUCAAGAUUGAUUACAAUGAGCAUCCUGAUGCAAUUCAUAAAUUACAUCAAUAUGUGUGCCAGUCCGACUUCAAGGAAGAGGUCAAGGGGUUUUCUCCAUAAUACUUGUUGUAAGCUUAUUAGGGAACCCAAAAAUGUUAUCUUCUUUGAAUCAAUCAAUUGAUUUUGUAGA